rnacentral:rRNA from 1 species
GGUAUUUUGACUAUACGAAGGUAUUGAAAUAAGAUUUUAAAUGAGUGCUAAGAGAAUGAUUCAACAAUUAAGAACUUUCUUCAAAUUAAAAAUUGAAUUUAGUUUUAUUGUGAAGAAACAAUAAUAAUAAUUAGGGACAAGAAGACCCUAUGAAUUUUAGAAUUAUUUAUUUAAAAGAUAAUUUAUAAAAUAAAUAAAUUUUGUUGGGGCGAUAGAAAAAGAAUAUUUAUCUUUUUUCAAAAAAAUUAAUUUUGAUCCGUUAUUAAUGAUAAUGUGAAAUAAAUACUCUAGGGAUAACAGCGUAAUAAUUUUGGAUAGUUCUUAUAGAUAAAAUAGUUUGCGACCUCGAUGUUGGAUUAGGAUUCUUUUUUGGUGAAGAAGUUAAAAUAAGAAGUUUGUUCAACUUUUAAAUUCCU